UGGAGCAUGUGGUUUAAUUCGACGCAACGCGAAGAACCUUACCAGGUCUUGACAUCCCGAUGCUAUUCUAGAGAUAGAAAGUUACUUCGGUACAUCGGUGACAGGUGGUGCAUGGUUGUCGUCAGCUCGUGUCGUGAGAUGUUGGGUUAAGUCCCGCAACGAGCGCAACCCCUAUUGUUAGUUGCCAUCAUUCAGUUGGGCACUCUAGCGAGACUGCCGGUAAUAAACCGGAGGAAGGUGGGGAUGACGUCAAAUCAUCAUGCCCCUUAUGACCUGGGCUACACACGUGCUACAAUGGUUGGUACAACGAGUUGCGAGUCGGUGACGGCGAGCUAAUCUCUUAAAGCCAAUCUCAGUUCGGAUUGUAGGCUGCAACUCGCCUACAUGAAGUCGGAAUCGCUAGUAAUCGCGGAUCAGCACGCCGCGGUGAAUACGUUCCCGGGCCUU
rnacentral:rRNA from 1 species